rnacentral:rRNA from 1 species
AUUGAACGCUGGCGGCAGGCUUAACACAUGCAAGUCGAGCGGAGAUGAGGUGCUUGCACCUUAUCUUAGCGGCGGACGGGUGAGUAAUGCUUAGGAAUCUGCCUAUUAGUGGGGGACAACAUUCCGAAAGGGAUGCUAAUACCGCAUACGUCCUACGGGAGAAAGCAGGGGAUCUUCGGACCUUGCGCUAAUAGAUGAGCCUAAGUCGGAUUAGCUAGUUGGUGGGGUAAAGGCCUACCAAGGCGACGAUCUGUAGCGGGUCUGAGAGGAUGAUCCGCCACACUGGGACUGAGACACGGCCCAGACUCCUACGGGAGGCAGCAGUGGGGAAUAUUGGACAAUGGGGGGAACCCUGAUCCAGCCAUGCCGCGUGUGUGAAGAAGGCCUUAUGGUUGUAAAGCACUUUAAGCGAGGAGGAGGCUACUGAGACUAAUACUCUUGGAUUGUGGACGUUACUCGCAGAAUAAGCACCGGCUAACUCUGUGCCAGCCGCCGCCGUAAUAC